UCCAUCUGCCCAUGCCAACUUCAUCUCUGUGUAAAUUUUCAAUAGCCCUCUACUCCCUCCGAUCAGCCACCGUGACAGCUCCGAUCACUCCAUCGUGUAACAUGUAACACACUUCAUCAAUUCAAGCUAUCAAUUCCCCCUUUUUCCUCUCAAUUUUAGAGCUUAGGUUGCAAACCCACAUCCACUUAUCUUUGGAAAAUAGUUGAAAUUAGAGGUGAACACGGUGCAAGCACAAGCAAUAAGGGAAAGGAGCACCUCCAUGGUUGACUAAGCCAGUAAUAGCAUUUUUUUGACGUGUACAGAGUAUAGAAGCGAGUGAACUCGCUAGUUGGCAGCAGCACGUGUCAAGUCACCACCUCCUUUUUUUUGCUGGAUCGAGAUGUCAGGUGAAGAAGCCUCUAGUCCUUUUUAUAUUUCUUCUGAUUCUGAGUCUGAAGGGGUUCCUUUAGCCGAUGUUGCUGCUCCUAUGGCGGGGCAAGAUGAUAUAUUACGCACCAUGGCAACUGCAAUGCAACAGAUUGCCAGGAAUGUGCCACCAAGUCAAUCUUCCAUCCUUAAACAGAUGCAUGAAUAUCACGCUGAAGAAUUCAGAG